GGGGUCACAAAAGCUCCAUGUGGGUUUAACGUCCUUGAAAAUGCCAGAAACAGAGUAAUUGGAUGGCUGGAACCACUGUGGAUGCAGCUCUUCCCUCACUGCCCUUGCAAGGAUCCCAUCAGCCCAAGCCCCAGCAUUGGGUACAAAGAGCUUCACCUCUGCUGGCACACUGAAAAACCCUCCGAGGUUCCAGGUGCCGUGGAGCUUGGAUUUGCCUUCUGCAGAGUGCUGCUGGAAUUUUGGGAUGUUUUACAUCAGUGUAUCCAUCRCUCAGCCACUGAGCCAGCAGGAGUGGUGAGGGUGCCUGGAAUACUCGUGUUGCUGCAGGGACAAGGACAUGGAAGAGGCUCUCUCAUUCU